rnacentral:lncRNA from 1 species
GCUUUGCUACUUGCUUGAUAUUUUGCCUGCUGCUUCAGGGCUUGCGAUCUUGAUUUACUCUGAAUUCCUCCUGGAUGGUUCGACAUUGAGUUGUCUCUGGACAUUUCAGAAUGGAUCAUUGAUCUUCAUGUAUCCCUACCAUCUUUGGUGUCUUGGGACUGGUUUCUGUAUGGAAAUGUGGAAAGGAGUGUGGCUUUCUUCUCUGAGAUUGACCGUACCACAGAUGGUCGCCAGUACCCCUAUUCAGGAGGAGCCUAGUUAAUUCCAUCUCUUAUGGAUUGGUGUUGCUCUUUAAGGUACAACCGCAGCUUAGAUGGUCGCCGAAUCUCUUAUUUGGGAGGAGUUCAGGUAAUUCCAUCCCUUUGGUUUGAAGCCAAUGAAAUGUAGUGGAUUAACAUUUGAUCCCAGUACCAGUUGACAAGUUUUUGUGUUUUGGUAGGGGGUGAGACCGCACCAUGAAUGGCUGCCUACGUACUCCUAUUGAAGAGGAG